GCGUUCAGGCCAACAUCGGUUUCGGGGGUUGGUUAAAGGCCCUGGGAAUGUACCUACCCUCCGGGGUAGACUUAUAGCCCAGGGUGUCAUGCGACCUCCCGGGACCGAGGAACGCGCUUCGGCUCGGAUGUUGGCGUAAUGGUUGUCAGCGA
rnacentral:rRNA from 1 species